rfam:Populus trichocarpa scaffold_2_contig_140, whole genome shotgun sequence.
UAAGGAAAUGAUAUAAGUUAACUAAGUCUGGGCUGCAGGACAGAUUUCGACUUCUCUGUUGUUGCUGCAUUUUGAACUUGAAAACUAUCCUUUCGAAUCUUGGACUCUUCAUGAACGUUUUAGGUCUAUGUCUUAGCUUUCCAUA